rnacentral:rRNA from 1 species
GACGAACCGUGCGAACGUUUGUUCGGAAUCACUGGGCUUAAAGGGCGCGUAGGCGGGCUCAAAAGUCAGGGGUGAAAUCCCACGGCUCAACCGUGGAAGUGCCUUUGAUUACUGAGAGGCUCGAGUCCGGGAGAGGUGAGUGGAACUGCGAGUGUAGAGGUGAAAUUCGUAGAUAUUCGCAAGAACACCAGUGGCGAAGGCGGCUCACUGGCCCGGUACUGACGCUGAGGUGCGAAAGCGUGGGGAGCAAACAGG